rnacentral:rRNA from 1 species
AGUGAACGCUGGCGGUAGGCCUAACACAUGCAAGUCGAACGGCAGCACAGAGGAGCUUGCUCCUUGGGUGGCGAGUGGCGGACGGGUGAGGAAUACAUCGGAAUCUACUCUGUCGUGGGGGAUAACGUAGGGAAACUUACGCUAAUACCGCAUACGACCUACGGGUGAAAGCAGGGGACCUUCGGGCCUUGCGCGAUUGAAUGAGCCGAUGUCGGAUUAGCUAGUUGGCGGGGUAAAGGCCCACCAAGGCGACGAUCCGUAGCUGGUCUGAGAGGAUGAUGAGCCACACUGGAACUGAGACGCGGUCCAGACUCCUACGGGAGGCAGCAGUGGGGAAUAUUGGACAAUGGGCGCAAGCCUGAUCCAGCCAUACCGCGUGGGUGAAGAAGGCCUUCGGGUUGUAAAGCCCUUUUGUUGGGAAAGAAAUCCAGCUGGCUAAUACCCGGUUGGGAUGACGGUACCCAAAGAAUAAGCACCGGCUAACUUCGUGCCAGCCGCCGCGGUAA